AACUAAGAAGAAGAAGAAAAAAAAAGGGGAAAGAGAAGGAAUUCUUGAAGGUGAAGAAGCAGCUUACGACGGGGAAGGUGAUCCCGAAGGCAAUCAAGAUGAAGUUUUAGAGCCGUGGUUCACUUGAAAACUUGGACUAGUAGUUUGUUUUUGUGUUCUCUCUUCUUUUACCUUUUGGUUUGACAAUGUUUGUAAACCUCUAGUGGAACUCAAAUCAGUUAUCUAUGUUAUAACUCUGCUUGUAUGUGUAUAUUAACAUAUUGUGGUUAUCUCU